UGCCAGCAGCCGCGGUAAUACANGAGGGUGCGAGCGUUAAUCGGAUUUACUGGGCGUAAAGCGUGCGUAGGCGGCUUUUUAAGUCGGAUGUGAAAUCCCCGAGCUUAACUUGGGAAUUGCAUUCGAUACUGGGAAGCUAGAGUAUGGGAGAGGAUGGUAGAAUUCCAGGUGUAGCGGUGAAAUGCGUAGAGAUCUGGAGGAAUACCGAUGGCGAAGGCANCCAUCUGGCCUAAUACUGACGCUGAGGUACGAAAGCAUGGGGAGCAAACAGGAUUAGAUACCCUGGUAGUCC
rnacentral:rRNA from 1 species